rnacentral:misc_RNA from 1 species
AAGACUAUAGACCUGCGGAGUACCUGCGGAGGGAUCAUUAUUGAAGUUGAUUUCAGAGGGUUUUGUAGCUGGUUCCUCUUGGGGCAAGUGCUCGCCUUCUGUUCUUCUUUACACCACUUGUGCACCUUUGUAGAUCAUGGAUAAUGACACUCGAGUUUCUUCCAUAGCUCGGAAUUGGGGAGGAUUUGCAAUCUGAUUGCUUCUUCUAAAGUUUUCAUGGUCUAUGUUUUUCUAAAAUCU